GAAGAGUUCAUGACUGACCCAUCUGUAUUGGACCUGUUGGAAGAACAAAACUGAAGCAUCAUUGCUGUAUACACACCAAAAUGAGCACUCUGUGCUGCAAAAAGCCUGGCUUACCUGGAGAAAGAGACGCAUCAGGAACAGAGUGUCAGCUGAUCACUCAGGCAACUUUAACAACAUGCUAUUGGCCCAGGUUUUGCAAGUGUGGUGGCAGCGAGUCCAUGGAUCAGCCUUUGAGCCCUAACCAGUUCUGUUUGUUUACAAGCAGAGUAGAUGGAAACCAGCCAGUGCAGAUCAUAGCAGUAACUCCAGACAUCACAACACAUCUACAUUUCUAUCAUUUCAUUCUGUGAUGUAAAGUUCUCCUAAAUAUUUAUUAACCACCCCCAUCCACAUUUGAAUCAAAAAAGAAAUUAUUGUAUUGAUCAACCCUAGUGAAACCUACAGCAAAAUGUAUUUAAAAUACUACAUACUAAGUAUACUACAAAUAAUAAGUAUGCAUAUACUAAGCAUACAUACUUACUGACAUAUCGCUUGAGACUUACUGAUAUAAAUAUUAUAAUUAAACUUUAUUUAGAGUACUUUAUUGCACAAUGCACAUUUCUUAAUAUAAAGCCUAAAAUGUGUUUUAAUUUCACUAUUAGUAAGGAUAGUAUGAUCUAUGUAUAAUAUCAGUUUUUAAAUGCAAGAUAAGUGUACCUAAAGUAUACUAGCAAUAUACUUGAAGUCCCCCUGUGGUGGAAAUCAGGAUUUUGUCGUUGUUUAUAUGUCUAUGUGGUGUUUUUAAUAUGAAUUUGCA